CCCGUUAAUAGUAGUUUAAAGUGGUCAAGAGGUUACGGCAGUAAGGAAUGUUAGUAAAAAUGUCUCUGUGGAGUUUAAACAACCAGUAUUUUAGGCAGGGCUUGGUGGGUUACUGUCCCUGCACAAACAACUAGAAUGUGAGAGUCUGGGCUGGGAAAUACUUAAACUGUUUGGAAAAACUUGUUUUGUGCAGCUUGAGAGUGUCCCUGGAGGCUGUGGCCCGAUGCCAUGACUCCUGGUAAAGGCUGGGCUGCUGUAACAAUGAAGCUUUUAUGGGGAAGCUGGAGUACAAUCAGAAACUUUUCGGUCCCGGGGGAUUAUGGGGAGGGGAGUUCCUGGGUUCAAGAUGUCUGGCACAUUAUGCACAUUUCCACCAGGAUUUGGGGGUGUUCUAUGGCAUGCAAGCAGGCUCCUAGCUGGGCGGCUCCAGAUUAUUCACUGGAUAAUCUUCCUCCAGUAAGAAGUGUCUUGAACUGAAAGGCAUCUUUGAUCGACCACUCCUUACCGAAGUGAUCAAAACUUUGAAAUAAAUGGAUCGUAAAUGAGCAUUAACUACAUCAGUGUGAUCUAUUGCUCUGACACCUAUUUGCCACAGGAGGAAGUGUCCGUGUCCGUGUUGGGCUGACUGCAGUCCCUGAUUUGCUAGAGAAGUCGUUGCCAUGGCUCAGCACCGUGCCAGACGGGGCCCCCGCCGCCCUGAGGAAUUUGUGUCAGAUAGAACAUUUCGUACGAUGCAGAAGGUUCUGUCACCUUGAUUCGAAGGAAGUUGUUUGUGUUAAUGCUUAAAGGUAACGUGAGACGAGGCGAGCUCUUUACUUUGGAACACGCGCUGUGCCAUUGAUGUGCGCAGUACAGUAAAUAUAACAAAGAGCGCACUGUGGUAUUUACACCCACCGCAAACACAUUUGCAAAAUAGGAUUAUUUGCAAUCCAAUAAAAUGGUACUGCUUUUAAGGCAGAAACCCUGUGUGUUCAGUGAAGUGUGCUCCUCAGCUUUUCUUACCGUUUAUCGACCCGACACAUUCCUCCCCAUUUUUUUAAUGCCUUCCAUUAAUAGUUAAGAAAAACCUAGGGAAAACAAACACUCUUUUCCUGAUUGUUUAUUCACCAGUCUCUUAGGAACCAUAAUUACGUCUCCCAGGAAUUGUGUGUUUUAUCAUACUGUAUAUCUUAAAGAGCCACUUUAGGUAAAAUAACAAGGAGUGCCUUAUGAAGGAAAAUUGGAUUCAUUUUAAGACUUUUUUAACCCUCCAAAGAAUGGCUCUUUGUUUACUUCUUUAGUGCAUGUGGCAACUUGCCCAAGUAAAUACUAUGCUGCAUAAAUACCAGAGAUUGGUAUUUAUGAUAUUACAUAAACAUACUCUGAAUAAUGACUCAUUGUUGCGAUGAAGACGAAUGCAAGCAAUAUACAUCGCAGUCAGUGCGUUAUUUCUUGUCACUUUAUUAAGUGGCAUUGAGCGUUGCAGGACAAAAUGACAGCAACUGGAGAGGAGAAGUCUGAUUGCGUUAUUUAGCAGAUCUGAGUUUACAAAACAGAAGAGAAAACAGCCAAAACAGGAAGGUUAUGAGGAUAACAUAGCAGAUUAAUUAUCAAUAUGCAGGGUAAGUAGUUAGGUGUAUGGUGGGGCUGACUGGAAAAGGGUUUAUUGCUCUUUGAAUUGAAAACUCAUGCAGUGCAUUUAUUCCACUGUCCCAGCAGGGAGCUGAGCCUUCGGGUUCAUCAUCCUACCUGUGGUGAUGCUCACGUCCACUUGCAGCAACAGUAUUUCCCUCACAGAGCUGCACUUUUGGUGGCUUUGUUUCUCAGAGCCUCAGUCUGUCCAGAUGGAGUUUUGUUACACCUUUACCUGCACUCUGAAAAAAUUGUGUGAGGGUUUGUGUGAAGGGAAAAUGUGGCACACUUUGCAGUGCUGCCAAAUGAUGGAGCUCAGAUCUGAGAAAUCAAAAUCCCGAAGGGAAGGUGCCUAUGCCAAAACCUCUAUUUAAAGCCAGCAGGGUAUGACCAAGUUAGUUAUCUGUAAAGCCCAUGCUUAUAGCCUGUCUUGUCCUAACAGCAAAAACAACGGACACUCAAAUUCUCAAAGGGCCACUGAACCAUCCCUUUAAAAAUGACAAUGAAAAUUAUCACCCAUAAUAAUGGACUAGCCUGAAAAAAUGUGAUUUUUUGGAAAUUCUAUUCUUCCCCCGAAGCAGCUCCUCAGGAACAGCAGAGAAAGCCUGCAGAGUGGGAGGGUGACCCUCAUAAUACGUGGAGGAGUGGGAUGCUCAGCUGUGGGAGGACUCUGCUCCAGGACUGCAGGCCUGCACACUGUGAUUGAGGUUAGAAGGGAACACAGGGGACAGGAGAACAGAAGGCUGCUCUUCUGCAAAGACCAAUGAUGUCUCCUGGUCCAGGACACAGAUGCAUGGCAUUAGUUUGGUGAGGCUCUACUAGCAAGCUCAGGAAUGACAGUGCUGCUCUCUGCGCCAUCCUGGAUGACACAAAAUUUGUGCCUAAAUCCCUGGAUGGAUGCAGACUUAAUUUCACUGGCAAACGCUUUGAAAAGUGCAGCCCUCUGUAACACCUCCCGAAGAAGAAAAGACAGAGACAGACUGCAUGUCAUUCCUUCACUCCUGUGUGCCCAUAUCAGCACUCACUGCGCCUACAGAGAAGCACAAGAAUCACACGGUUCCAGGCAAAAUGCAUGUCAGUGACCCAGCAGCGAUGCACACUGCGCCGGCACCAGAGGAUCACCAGAGGAGCUGUGAACUACCCCAGACAGAAAGCAGUGGUGCAAAGGUACUGUUGGUAAGGGAGAUGGCACUCAGGCUGGGAAGCAUGCAUGUAUGAAACUCAGCCCAAAUAUGCUCCUUUACCUGAACACAUGGGAACUACGUCCUUCCUGCCCUCUGCUUCAGGAGUUGGAGAGCAGGAGCGUUCUCUGUCCUGCCAUCCUCUGCCUGGGAGCAAAGCAGGGCAGGGGAGGCACCGGUCAGCAUUCAGGUUUUGUACUGGCUUCAUGCCAUUGCCACUUUGUCACUGCAGUUGUCCUGUUCAGCUGGGACAGGAGCCACUGAACCACAAACAUGCCCAUGCUGAGCUCUACCCUGGUGGUCUUCAUCCCAAUGUGGGGUCCACCUCGUUCCCCACAGGCUGCUGGGUUCAGUUAGCAUCUCUGUGGUCUCUUUUUCUCUCUGUCACAUCCUUUUCUUUCAGCCAAGUGCCUACUUGCAUGUAGGGCUCAAGGGGUCUUCGAAUAUGGGUGAAAGCAAAACGCACAAGAGAAGUUCCAUGAGGAAGGACAGGCUGGUGACCAUGUUGUCUGUUGUAUGUAAAUAGCUUUCCUUGGCAUUGCUUCUAACUGCUGGGUUAUGGUAGGGUUGUGCUCUUGAAUUUCUGAAUAGAAAUAAGGUGAAAAAUACUACUUUUUCACCUGAUGCUGUGCGCCUGAUGCAGAUGUCUGUGAAAUGACCUGUGUGUUUUAGCAUAAGACCAGAUAAAGGGAUAUGGUUUUAUACCUUCAUGCUCCACAGAAGUUUCUGUUGCUCUGCACCACACAGGGCUUGGCCAGUCCCUGUGUUGCAGCUCACCUGUCCAACUUCAACCCUUGAUUAGCAACUUUGUAGAGACGAUCUGAAGAAAAGCUCAGUGGAAAAGGUGCUCAUUAUCUCCAUAAGAGAUUUUGUCACAGCUGGAUAACAAAGUACAAAACUGGCCAGGAUUCCCCAUCGUAAUCUACAGGUGUUAGUGAUGAAAGUACCAGCCCCUCCGCUUUCAGCUGCACGCAGUAGUUAGGUGCUGUGUCACGCAGUACCGCAUUGUAUCAGUGGAUCUAGAGAUAGCGUACUCAGGUGUUUGUGUGUUACCCAGAGUGUUUCUGUAAUAUAAGUUUGUCUUAGGAAAAAAGAAAAAGAUGCCAGUGGCCUUGUCAGAUAUCUCUGAGCGAGAGCCAGAGUCGUGUAAGGGACUAGAAGUGUGAUAGCCAUUCUCCUACAGCCACAAGCAUCCAGCUGGUAUUAUUUAUGCACCAUUGACAGUGGGACAUGCUCAGACUUGAAGGACUGGUGCUGACCUUCCCUUGCUAAUCAUUUAUACACUCCUUGUUUCGAGCGCUCCACCUUAAGGUUUCUCAUGACUCACGUUCUCUCUGGAGUGAACAAAUAAAUCCUGAAGGACUCUGCAUGCUUCCAAGUGUGUAACCUGUCCCCUCGUACUGGUCCUGUUUUCAGCAACAGAAGCUCUCCAAGUAGCACUGCUAUUUAUUAAGGUGUGACCUCGGAGCCAUAGGACCUUGAGAGCUGAGAGGAUGGUGGCUUCAGCUUGGCUUAGGCUUAUCCUAAACUGUCAGUCCAAUGCUUUUGUGGGUGCCAUGAGGGAGGAAUAAAACUCCUCUGCAGUCUUUGGAAGCAGGAAAAUUGGGCUAGAAUCAUAGAAUGGCUGGAGUUGGAAGCAUGCAGAGUUCUCUCUCCAAAAUGGGGAGCAGUAAUUCAUGUCAUUUUCCUGAACUUCUGUAAGGCUUUAGGCAUGGCCCACAUCAUGUCCUUGUCUCUGCACUGGAGACGUGGUUUUGAAUGGACUGUUUUGUGGAAAAGAAAUGGACUGGAUGUCUGCAUACAGGGAGUUGCAGUCAAUGGCUCAGUGUUCAGGAGGAGAUCUGUGAUGAGUGAUGUGCCUCAGGAGACACACAGCUGUUAGAGCAGGCCCAAAGGAGAGACACAGAAAUGACUGGAGGGCUGGAGCAUUUUGCUUUCAGAUAUCCUUUAGUUGAAGGGAAUGGUAAAUUGAGGCCUAUUUCUGGAUUGUUCAGAACAAAAGACUUGAUCGUGGACACUCAAAUGCUGAGGGUGCUGCUGAUAAUCCUUGUUGUUCUCUCUGUAUUGAUGGGUCCAUCUGGGAGGCAGGGUUGACAUUCCCCCUUACCUUCCACUGCUUCUGGAAGUGGUACAUAAGCAGCAAAUGGUUGCAAAUGCUUUGAAUAUACAAAUAGAGUAGAAAGGUGAGUAUCAUAAAUAGUAUGACUGUAUUACAACGUAUAGGAAUAAUGAAAAACAUCAACAUUGUUGUUAAUUAGACGUGCAGUUCGUGAGCAGAGUGUUGAGCUUUGAGGAACAGGUAGGCCGGAGAGGAGAGGGCAAUAAGAGGGUACAAGAAAAUACCGCCUUGUCUUUGUCCCUUCCUUGUGUACCUCUUCCCUAAGAGGAGCUGCAGGGCAGUAGAGUGGGUGAGAAGGACAUCCCAGCUGGAAGGUCUGCUGAGAGCUUUGGAGAGCUCGUCUGUGGGGUCAGGGUUGGCUUGGCCACAGGGUCAGAGGUGGAGGGGAGGAAGGAACAUGUUUUGGCUUAUGUUCCAGACUGUGGGGCUGGAUUAGGUGCACGCACCUGGGAUAGGCUAAUGAGAAUGGGGACACGUCAGAAUGUCAUUGUGAAGGAGAGAGGCUUGAUCUGCUGUGUUGUGAGCGCUGCUGCCCUCAUGGUGCCUGGGCACAUCUGACAGGACAGAGCUUACCACAGCACUCACAGGGGAGCGAUGUUAGGCACUAUGGGUUGGUCCAGCAUGAGUAACUCAAACUGCAGGGGUGUGAUGCAGAGAAGGAUGUGGUUCUUUUAAUUCCUUCCCCUUGUCCCAUUGUUUCCUUCCCAGGCGCACACAAAAUCUUCCUCUGCCUCUCCCUCCCAGCCCAGCUUUUCUCCUCUCUUUGGUUGUCCUUUUGUCCUUCCCUCCUGUAGAGCCAAGCUCAACAGCGUAACCCACACCCAACAGAAAGGGACUUCUUUUGGCAAUUUCUCCAUAUCUGGGACCCAUAUGUCAAGCAAAACAAUUGCAAAUGGGCUUAGUUGGCAUUCCUUUGGCACGGAAUGGCAGAAAGCACGGGCAGGAGUGGGUUCUUCAGAAAAGCUUGGAUUUCACAGCUGUGCCCAUGAGCGGCACUGGGGGACACUGUAUGACCUCAGAGAGCCUGGUCCCACCACAGAGCUGCAGUGGGAGCCCAGGUCCUGACUCCUUCACUGCAGGCGGGAGGUUGGGAAGGUCAGGCUGUGUGCAAGCAGGUGCCUCCUGUGCCCAGGACAUGGAGGACAUGACCUGCCCUGCCAUUAGCUGUUAGAGUCACGCUCUAGAGGCUGGCUUCAGAGGAUGCGUUAUGUCUUUGUGAAGCACCACACACAGGGUCAGGGCUAGAUUGCCUCAUCACCAAAACACAAAUUCAUGUAUUUGUCCUGAAGCGAGGCUGGUGCAACAGGACAAAAUGGAAUAACGUAACAGCUGGGAGCCAGGGUGUGCUGCAACGUCAGAGGAGAAAUACCCCGGGAGCCCUACAGGAAAGCAAUGGUGAACUCUACUCUCAGAUUAAUCAGGCUUUUAUUUCUGCCACAGUCACGAUGUCAAAGCUUUUCUCUGCAUGCUGAAGAUGCCAUGUCUGGCACUGAGAGCUGCAGUGUGGUGGAGAUACAUCUUUUAAUGGAAGUUCCCAGGCUGCGUGCCAGGACACUGCAAACAGACACAUUUAUGGUCUUUCAGGUACAAACAUGACUGAUUUGUGAUCAAGAGGAGGAUGUGGUUCUUUCCACUCCUUCGCCUUGUCCCCUUCUAUGCCAUCCAAAGCACACACGUCUCCACGAUGCAACCUUCCCAGGGCUGGUAAACAAUAUUCCUAUUGUAAAUUACUUCAGGAUCUUCACAAAAAAAUUAGUACAAUCCCCACAAGCACAGAUUGUUAAAAUACUCUGUAAAUUACUUGUCUGGCUUCACUGGGGUAACUCAACAAGUCCAGCAGCUGUAGGGCUUAUCUCACAUCUCGGUUGCUGAACCUGUGCUCUUUUGUCACUGACUCCAAUGUGUAACUUUGUUAACAUCGAAUAGUUUGCAAAUUGGGAAAAACUCCUCUAGGAAUUUGAAAUUUGUAUUUCCUUAGUGAUCCUGGACCCAAGUGGACAGUGAGAAGGGACCUGAUGCUCAGUGCGUGCAGUGUGCUGAAGAAGUGCAUCUCUGCAGACAGCUGCAGGCAGCCCUGAGCUUGCUGUGCUCGCGCUGUGCAAUGUUCAGGCCGGUGCCGGCCCCACGGCCGCGUUCUGCUAUCAGGGCAGGAACUGUAGAGCGACGUUUUUCAGACACCUCCUUGGGUUUGACAGUGAGGAACGUGGCUGCUCUGCAGUCUUGUGGUGCGUGUGACAGUACGACUGUGCUCGCAUGUACAAAGCCAGCUGCCAUCUCUGUUGCAGUGUUAAGAAAAUAUAAGUUAAAGGUGCAUUAUGUCCAGCAACAGCCCCAAGGUGUGCUGGAUGCAGUGAUCUAUGACAAAGCAGCAGUUUAUGGCCUCACACUACUGUUUUCUGUCAACCCGCUCACAGAGAAGUAUUUGUGGCGUUGUUGGUCCCAUGCUUCAUGGCAUUAUUUCUCCAGGACCGUGAGCAGGGGACUGCUUGUCAUCUCAAGUUGGGUACUGCCUGAUGUUUCUCUUCUAACAGUAAUAUAAAGCCUCUGUGCAUCAAUGAGAGGGGCUGAGAGAUGCAGGAACUGCUGCAUAUGCAGCAUUAUUUACGGAGACCAGUGCUGGGCUAUUUCUCCACCUACUUCACCUCCUCCACUCAAGGGCGUUCAGAUGCCUUGUAGACCAAACGUGCAGGGGGCAGUAAUAUUUUUACUAGGCCAACUGAUAAACAAACAUAUUUUGGGAGCCGUUCCCAGGGCCACGCAGCAGUUCUGUGAGAUGAAGUCCUGGCGCAGGACUCCUGGGCUUUACCAAAAGUCCAGAAACCACUGUUUCUCCCCUCGUGGCCAGUCCUGUCUCAGCAAUAUUUUGAUUGCUCUCCUAUAAAAACUCUUUUCUUUCCCCCCUCUGGGCUGUUAAUGUUACCACAUAGAUAUUUUCUAUCAACCUACUCCAGAAAAUUUAAGUUAUUCUGAAAAGGGAAUUAAGUAAGGAAGAUUUACUGCAGUUUGAAAAAGCCAGCGCUUGCAAGACACGUCCCCCAAGGAACGCUCUGUGAUCCAGGGGAUCAUUUCGUACCAUUGCAUUGGCAGCACUUCCCUGGUCAAUGCCUUUCCGCGUUUCUUCCUGGGAUAUUAAGGUGAAUUUAAUCAUCAGUUAAAACAUCUAGCAAGAUGAAACUUGUUUCCAGAAGCGGUUUGAUUGGAGUCGCAUCGAGUUAUUUAGUUUCCACUUUUUAGUGGCAUUUUUUGCAGCACUGAUUAUCAAGUAGUUGUUGGUUUCACCCCAUUCCCAAUAACUGGGGCAAAAUUUGGAAGCAUUUCACACCGAUCUUUGCAGAGCAAGAGCAGGAUGGUUUGUUCAAUCCCCAUGUGGGAUUUGUUCUACAUUCACUGCAUUGCUGGGUGUCCUCACCUGGCUGGCUGUGCUGCUGUCUCCCUGGCUGUGUGUUGUAACCUAAAGGCGAUUAAAGAUGGCUGCAAGGCGGCUCCAGCUUUACCAUCUAAAACUGAGCGAAUGGAGGUAAGUGGUGCAUAGAUUUCUGAUUCUCUCAACAGAAGGGCCGCUUGCCUUUAUUAUAGCUGGCACUUAAUCACAAACCAAGACACUUCCAGUCUGGCUGUUCAUCUCUGGGCUCUACAGAAAGAGCCAUGGCUGUGCUGAGCAGGGCCUGUGGUGGUGCCAAGCCAAAGGAGAGCCCCCAGUCACCAUCACCAAUUUGUGAACAUGGGUGGGACCAGGCCCUGGCAGGCCCUGCACUGCCCCGGUGUCCUGGCAAAGCCUGCAGGGAGGUGGUCCUGCAGCCCCAGCAGCAUCCCUUGGAAGCAGGCAUCGCCUCGCUGCCCGCCACGGCCACUGAGCGAUGCCUGGCAAAGGUGACUCAGAGGCAGGGAGCCCUGCUAAGGCCCUGGCACAUCCCUGCACUGAAACACUGCCUACAGCCUCCUGCCUCUGCCCAGCUCGCCCUUCCUGCCGCCUUUCCCCCGGGGUCCUAACUCCCGACUUUGUUGCUCUAUAAACAUAAUAACAAUAAUUAUUCUCUCAUUGGACACAUAGCCAUCUUCUUUGUUUGCAGGCUUAGAUAAAUAUCAUUCAAAUCAUGGAGUCUGAUUCAUGAGUCAGGAUGAUGGCAGCCCUCCAAAACCUCCUUGCCCAUGGAGAGUGUGUUUGUGUGAGAGAGAUAGAGAGUUUCACUGUAUGAAGCGUAAGAAACUGGAAGCCAAGUGAAUUAAAUACAAAGCAGAUAAUUAUGUGUAAUUCAUUUACUGACUAAUGAUUGCACCUGGUACAGAAGUUUAUGAAUUCAUUUCACUCUGCAUUUGUUCUCAAAAAACAAUCUCUCUGCACAAGAUAAAAACUAGGCCUGUGUUUACGUUGGUAUUAUUGUAAGAUUCUGUCUCUCUGGUUCAUUCCCCAUUUUUUCUCACGACGUUUCACUUCUCCUGAGUUCACCUGGUGUCUCCUUGGCAGCGACAGCUGCUCCGUGCAGGCAGGGGCUGGGUGUCACAGCAGAAUGGAGCCUUUGCUUCUCUCCUGCAGUCUGUGUGGUGUGAUUACACACAAGGCUUAUCUCCCAUGUGCUACAGCCAAACUUUGCCACCGAGGCUGUGCCUGCAGUGGGGAUCAGCAGGUCAUGGUCCCCCUCCCCCCUCUGCUGGGAUGGUCAGCAACUUGCUGCUCUUGCAGUGGUGCCACCCAGCUGUCCCUGCAGCCCGACACCAUCAGCUCCUUCCAGCUGCAGGUGGUGUCAGCCUUCACCUGCUGACACCUGGGUUGAAGACCCCAGGGGCCUCUGGCAAGGUGAAAAAGCUCGUGCAAAUCCAUGGGGGACAGCAGUGCCAUUGGUGCUGAUGUCACACUGAGGACAGCAGCCUGUGUGACACUGCUUGCACUGUGAGCUUGGGAGUGGAGCUCUGAGCCACGCUGGGCCCAAGGCUCUGCUGGAUGUGGGCAGCAGCAGGGACACUCCUAAGGUGAUGCUCUUACCACGUCGAGGAAACAAAAGACCUUUUCCAGCUGUAUCCCAUGGGCAGUCAUCAGGCAUCCAGCAAAGCCCCUCCUCCCAGUCCAUCAGUGUGUCAAAGACAUCUCACCUCAAUCAUCCAUCACCCUGCAAAUACAUCUGCACACUCGGUUCAUUGCUCAGGUCCUCAGGUCCUCCUGUGAUGGCUGAUGCUCAAAGCAAGAAUUGCUGCUUCUUGCUGAGCAUGCCCAGCACCAUCACACGGCGGGGCUCUGUCCAGUAAUCAAUCCAUUAACGGGGUGCAGGAGAGGUAAGCGCGUGGGAGAGGGCUACAUCUGCAGGCACUGGCUGAGAGUAGAUUUAUGUGGGAUGUCCUUUAAGGCCAACUUUGGGAAAGGAACCAACUGGAAUAACAUAAGGAAGAGGGAAGUUACUUAGCAGUUUGAAUAGUUAGUAAAUUGUGACAUGCUCACAUGAAAGAACAUGCUGAGUUCACCUACAUACACGCUUUCCAGCAUUAUUUCCACUGAGUCUUUGCUGAAGCGUAAUAGUGAAGCUGAGCUCGUGGCUGCCAAUGGAACAGCUGCAGCAGCAGAUCUAACCACCAGUGCUGCACAAACACAGUGGGAGGCGUCUCCCUGCAGCCACCGCCAGCACUGUGCGGUGCCAGGAGAGCAUCACUGCUGCCCAGCUCCUCUGCUCCCAGCACAGCACUGCCCUACAGCCUGCAGCCCUCCUGGGGAGGCGGCGAAAAGCAGUGGAGGUGCUGCUUUCUCCAUCCGUGGCAGCCACGGGUAACAAAAGCAUCUGCAGUUGAAGAAAAAAUAACCCUCUGCUCCAGUAUUGGAGUGAUUUGUCAUUAGAAAAGCCAAAACCAGCUCAUCUUGUUCACGAGUGCUCCCACUGACUAAAGCGGCAGUCAGCAUGCGCUCUGGUUUUGAACCCAUGCAAUCCUUUUCCGAUGAAGACCUGACAAGCCAGGACAGAUUGCAGGCCGGGAGAUACUCACAGAGCGAUAGUGCCUUACCUGUAGGUGGAUCCUCAUUUUAGAUAGCACGAAGCAGAGCCAGGGAGCUGAUUCACUGCUCUUCUCCAGAUUUUCACCGGAAUAACACCACUGAAUCAUCAGCAAAGUUGAAAUAACAAAUGAUAAAAUGGGACCAUUGUGUUUAAGUUUGCAGCAUGCGUAUGGAAAUGAGCAGCUCUUUCUUGCAGAAUGCCUUUCUUGCGUGGAUACUUUCUGUGUGCUGUUUCCCAAACGUAUCACUAAGAUGAGAAUAUGACACUUAGGCAGCAGUUAUACAUGUCAACCCCCUCCUGCCCAAUUAAAAUCAAAGCUAACAGCUGGUGGGAAUGACCUCAGCACACCUACUCUGCUCUUUUUUCACUAUUCAGAAGAAAAAGGAGGAUGAGGAGGACUUCUACAGCUUCCGAAACGACUCCAUCUUUAUACAUGGUUCGUGUAUUGCUGCUCAGCAGCUAAAGCUUAGAAGCUGCUAAGUUAAGAAACACAGCCCUGGUUUCUCUUCUAUUUAUGAAAAUACUUGCUGAACAAUUGAAAAGGACUGCGUAACUGUGACUUUUUUGCAAGUAAUGCUCUGGAAAAGCAACUGAAGGCAACAGGCAAGCUUGCAAUUAGUAGUUCUAAUUAUAAAGUGUAUACAGAAAACAAUGUAGCAUCAUAAGUAAAGGCCAAGUUCAAAUGAUGCAAUAGGAACAGUAGAACACCAUGUAACAAUGGCAAAGCAUCCAGCAAGAGGAAUACUUCUAAACGAGCCGUAGUUCUCCCGUGAUAGCAACAACAACAAAAAAAGAGGAGAGAAAAUAAUAGCACAGCACUGUAUUCAAUGUAACUGCUGCAGUAAUCCUUUCUCAGUGCCACCCAACGCUCAUGCUUCUGUUGCAGCCCACAGCCAUCCCUGGAUAACACAGCUGCAGAGCAAGACCCAGUAAUGAGUGAUUAUUGCAGACCUGGGGGGGAGGGUCUCCUAUGCUGUUUGUUUAGCCAGGAACUGCUAUUUCCAUCACUGACAGCAGCUACCAAAUACCAAAGUAUGCUGCAGGGGUCUUUGCUGCAUAGUCUGUGGUGUGUAUAUGUGUGUGUCCCCUAAACUUCACCAGUCUGACAGCACUUCAUGUACUGAAUGGGAACUGAGAACCUCCAGCAUUAGUGUGUGCAGCAGCAGCAGCACAGGGUUACGUGCUGUGCUAAAGAACUGCUCUCAAAAUUAAGGCCUGGGUGCAACCAGAGAAGGUGAAGAGACAUAAUACCUUAGGGAAAUGGUUUUAUUUAUUCUGCCUGGAUGCAUAUAUGGCAAUCACCCAUGUAGCACGAUCCACAAUGCUGAAAACCAUUUCAUUAUGUUCUAUAAGUAAGAGCCUGAUGUGGUUCAAUUGUAUCAAUUAUGCAAUGCUUCUAAGUGGUGUAGUCAAGGGUAAAUGCAGGCAAAGGGCACUCCCUUUGUACCUGCUUCUACUCUGGGCACUUCUAAUAUUUACCUGCUCCUCAUAUACCACAGACAGAUGAAUCUGCCCACUUCUAUUUACCGCUGUAUCACUGACUCCUCUUUGGUCAAGAGCUUUUCCUAUGCACCGAUGACACAAUGAAAUAGAAAAUGGAAGUCAAGACACUGCUAUGUGUUCGUCUGUUGUGCAAGAUCUAAGUGUGGCUGCAAUUUUGAGCAAAGCAUCGGUUUUAAACAAUGUUUAAACUGACACUAUUAUUAUGCAAUAUAAUUAAUUAUAGCUAGAAGGGCAUUUGAGGUUAUUUGGCACUACCUUUGUCCAUUUCAUAAUUAUACCAAGAGAAUGACUAAGUUGUGCCUAGGCUAAUUGUACCCAUUUGGUUUUAUCCCUCCUCUCUGCCAUCCUAAGUCACUUGCAUCCUGAUCUGGGAGUUUUUUGGAGGAGUUUGGAUGUGUUUGUGCCAAACACAAUGGAGCCCAGGCUGGCUAGGCAGCCUCAGGUAAUAUUGCAAUAGAAGCACUAACAAUAGCAAUAGUAAUUACUGCUAGACAAAGUGAUAAGUACAAAACAAAUGUCACUUUUUUCAGUCACUGUUAUGGUUGCCUACAGAAAAUUUAUCCUUAUCUGCUCCUGCUCUGUGCAUUCUAGGACGUGUUUGCGUAGCCAGAAGAUAAAGCUUCGUGGCAUGACGUGAUGUCCUCCAGAUGUACUGGGAAGCCCUUCACACACCUCCAGAGAGCAGCUGAAGAGCAGCAGCAGAUGGCUGUGGCAGCAUGCAACGCACCAGCCCCGCUGCCCUAUGUAUCAUGGGGGCUCAGUGUUCAAGGGAUGCACAGUGCAGCUCAGAAGCCUGGGCUGAUGGGGCUGGGUGCUGCAGCGCAGACAUGGCACCGUGAAACCUCUGUGCCCCAGGGCCUGCAGUUUGCUGCCGGUGUUAGGGCCGUGGUGAGGAUGGCAGCUCACCCAGCCUCUGGAGCCAGGCUGGCUGCCUGACAGCCCGGCCACAAGUGCUGUGCCAUAUUGAAGCUCAGCAGCUGCCCCAAGCUGGCAGGCUGUGCGCCAGCCAGACGAGCUGCCCAGAGGUAGCAGUGAGUAAGGCAUCACUUCUGAACGUGACUUGGCAGUGUCAGGAUUAAAACCAAAGAGCCAACAAAAGCAAAAAUAAAAAUAAUUUAAAAAAUAAAAACAAAACCUAACAAUGAUAACAGUGAUUUCUCCAGAAAAGAAUCAGGUUGAGAAAUGGUCUUACCUUAAGAAAAGGCUCACUGUGGCCUUCCAGAAGGGAGCUCACAAGCAGGAGGGGGACAGGGCAAAGGGGAAUGGUUUUAAACUGAAAGAGAGGAGAUUUAGGAUAGGUGUUAGGAAGAAAAUCUUUACUCAGAUGGUGGUGAGGCACUGGCACAGACUGCCUGGAGAAGCUGUGUAUAUCCCAUCACUGGAAGCCAGGUUCAUUCAGUGCCAGGUUGGAUGGGGCCCUGGGCAGCCAAAUCUGGUGGGUGGCAGCUUUACCCAUGCCCAGUGGAUUGGAACUAGAUGAUCUUUAAGGUCUCUCCCAACCUAAGCCAUCCUAUGAUUCUAUGACUGUUCAGCUACAAUGAAAGGCUAUAGUCUUCAGCUGGCGGCUGGACACUGGAUUGCACUCAUAAAAUAGAACUGCCUGCAAGGACUGAAUGCCAUAAUUAACAGGCAUUUUUUAGAAAUUAUUGGUUAAUGUAAUAGAAAUACUGCCAACUGUUGUUGUUAAAACCUAAGUUUGUUCCUUUGGUGGUAAUGCAUAAUGACUCAACACUGCUUCAAUGGGAAGAUACCUUUGUCUGUUACAUAUUGCUACCUUCAUUUGUACAAUGGUUUAUAUGGCAAAUAAUACAAAUUCUGAAACUUAAAGACAGCUUCAGGAAGUAAUCAGAGUGCCACCCGUGUCCUGAGCAAUCGCAGUACUGGCAGUACAACAAGGCCUUUUUAUCAUAUCAUGGCAUUAAUGAUCCAGUCCCACUCCCACGGCAGGCAAUGUGGCCUUUAUCACCAAUGCUGUUUAAGCAGGACUAAGCUUAAAGGGUUCUAGAACAGGGAAAGAUGCUAAUCUAAGUUUCACAUCCAUCUGGUACAUUUCUCAUGCUGGUUAUACACGACCACCCAGAGAACUACUGCACAUUUUUAGUAACAAACUCUAUGAGCCCUACCAGGGAAUACAGGUUGUCCUCAGAUAAUGGGAUCUACUCAUAUGAUGCAGAUGUCUUAUCACCUAAGAACAUUUUCACAAUAUUACAAUAGCGACCGAAAGGUUAUUUCUCAAACCCUGUCUGUCACCCAGUAGGUACCAGCUGAAAAGUUUCUGUUUGAUUGCUAAAGAGUAGAAAGCAAUGAACACACAUUGGCAAAUCUUAGAUCAGGCAUGAUGUGGAUGUUGCACACCUCAGACUAACGCCCACCUUCACUUCAGGGAAAGGAGAAACCAGACCUGCAGACACACUAAUCGCUCCUGCUCUCACCUGGUUGGAAAUGAACUGCAGAACCUUGCUGCUUUCUAUUUACUGCACUGAGAGCCAGUGAUUUCUGAGUACUUCCAGUCAUCAACUGCAUGGCUAUUGCAGCAUUUUAUGAUGUAAAAUCCUCCUAAUGUACGAAUUAAAAAAAUAUAUAUGCAGUCUGUGCUGAGAUUGACAAUUCUGAUACAAGAGGGGGAGGUGAAGUCCAAUCUCUGCUCAGCUGGGAGGAACGCAAAGGUGAUGACACACCACUUAGUUUUGGGACAGCUUGGAGGUGUGGGUGUAUGACCCACCAAAGCGGGGUCACUUCACCCAAAGGAGGGCAAGCAGCAGAACUGGGCUGUCAUGCACAAGACUCAAACCAUCAGACUGUGCCAGAGUCAAAAUGAGAGCUCCCAGAGCUGGUUUCCAGCUGCACCCACUGCUGAGCAGAGACUGCAUCCCCAUCAAGUGCAGGAGGUCAUGUCCUUCAGCUGCUUCUAAGGGGAAGGCGCUUCAGAGCACACAGGCACAGUCAGCAACGCUGGUGGUGGACACAUGCAGACGUGGCCGAGGAAAGCUAAACAGGAUGCAUCAGCACCAAAGGGAUCUGGGCAGCCCAUCCCACUGGCUUUCAGUAGCACUGAAUAUGACGGGCUCUUGGACAAACCUGUGGAUCCCAGCCUGCCAUGUGACACUGCUAAGUGACUCUUGUCAGUAGAGCGUAGCAACUUGACUUAUUCCCUUCUGCAGAGCACACACUGGCCUGUGUACUGUCCAGGGGAGAAGCAGAGCCUCGCAAUUGGAAGGCGGGCACCAAAAGACACACGUGGGGCUGGAAGCUGGACAGUCCCAGCACCCAGCUCAGAAAUAAAACUGCUUUUACAGCAAGGAUUUCAGUAUAUGGUCUGGCUGUUGCUGACCUUGUCUGAGAACCUCUGGCAGCAGUGUGCCCAAUAGUUGACACGCUGCAGGCCUCUAUCAGAUGACAUUGCUAUUACAGUGCCUGGAGAGGUGGGGAAGUUCAUAUGUUAACAAACAAUACUGAGUGAAUUGAUUCCUCCUGCCUGCAUUGCCGUUGCUGUUCCACUCCCUCCACAAAACUAGGCUUUAGGAUACAGUUUAUUCCCUUUUCCAUGUAUCACUGUAACUGCAGUACUGUUGUAGACCAGCUAGAAGAAGUGGAGUUGUGAAUUCACCUUCUCUUUGGAAAUGUUACUCCAUCCACCCACACCUCUUUCUUCUUUGCUAACUCCAGUCAUCCAUCCCCAGGACCUACACCCACACUGAUCCCAACUCACUGAUGAACAUACAUGGAAACGGGCCUUGCUAAAUAGAUUGCAGCUCCUGUUCCAUAGCUGUGUUUAUAGGAUCAUUUGGAUACUAAAUCUAAUACAUAAAUGAGAACCCACUGGUUGAGUAAGGUCUCUGGAUUUAGUGCUCGCUCCAUGAAACAGGUUACUCAGCACAGCAGCUCCGGGUGCCCCAGGACACAGGGCUCAGCCAAGUGGAGGCCUGACCCCAAAGAGACUAACUCUGAUGCUGUUUGGGAACUUCUCCCCAUAGUGACAGGACACUCAGAACCUGAGUGAGGAGACACCUGAACCAUUCAGGAGGACUCCAGCUUCCACCCAACAGAGGUCCCAUCAGCCAAGCUGCCAGAGGUGCCCUGGAGUCCCAUCCCUCUCUCCCAGGGAAAGCCCUGCAACGCUGGGGCCCUAUGAGCUUGGGCUCAUUUCAUUUAAGUCUUCCCACUUUAUAGCAACAAUGUCCUGAAAAGAUUGGAGGAUGCAGAACAAACAGAAACUCAGCAUGGCACAGCGAUGCAAAAAAAGGUUCCAAAAGGUCAAGACAGGGAGAAGUGGAUGAACUCUGGUAUUUUAACAGCUCGGCAUUGAUGCCAUAAAUUAAAAGGAGGUGUGCUGGAUGUUUUAUUUUGUGUGUGUGGUAAACUGUACAGUUAGAGUCUGAAUAAACCUCUUUUGUCAAUUUUACUACCUUUCUGAUAUAAAAAUAAAUAAACUUAAACAAAGAAGAAGUGGAGACCUGCCAAGCCAGCCUACUUUGGUAAGAACUGCACUGACAAGGGAGCAAUUGUGUCUUAAAGCUGAGGGGCUGAAACGAUCAGCUUUUUUGGGCUGGCAAAGCCCUUCUGGAAGGGAGCUGCUCUGUAUGCAGGAGGAGCUACAGGAGAAGGAAAAAAAAAAAAAGGACACUCAUCUAAAAGGCAACAAAAGAACAUCAUUAAAAUUUCUGCUACCAGAACUGCUUCCCUGUUUGAUGGGAAGGCUGCAGGUAAAUAGCUGCUGCAAAAUAUACCAGGGUAACAGCACCUAGGAGCAUUUUAAUGGUGAUAUAAAAUUCACAAGUAGAUGAUAUAAUGUACUAAGUAACUUAUUAGGCUGAAUAUAAAACAAAGGUAUCAAGAAUGAUGGUUUUACUCUGCAGUGAAUCUCAGCAAUGAGUUCUAGGCUUACCAGUCCAAUGCCAAGCAUGAGAACUUCCAGUAGGCAGCAACACGUAAUUACCGCUGGGUGGAGGUGAAUCAACCACUUUCCGUCACGAAGCCAAUGAGGGACCCUCAGACAAUCUGCCAAAGGUGGGUGGGUGAAUGAGUGUUACUUUCCUGCUAGGCUCCCAUCAGGGCACCACACCUUGUGAUAUUAUCUCUGUAAUAACCAAACAACUUUAAAUGAUAUUGUGUCACUGCAAAUGAAGCAGGAGGGUGACCCAGCAAGUCAGAUUUCAUUAGUGCAUGAGGGACUGCACUCCAGCAUGCAGCUACACACACACACACACACACCCCUUCAGACCCUGGAAACCUCAGCCUGCAAUGCAGAGCAAUCUAAACUUUACCCAUACUUGCCUGAGAUUGUGUCUCUUCCAUGAGAGAUGCACAUGGACUUGCACAUGCACAGCAGGCUUAUCACUACACCCAUGUCCUAUUUGCUUUUCUGUGUGUCACUGUUGAAAGUUUUCUAAUGCGCUAGGUAAGAAGAUUGCAAAUGAAGCAGAACUUCAGCUGCUCAAUCGCAUUAAUACGGGUACAGUAAAAGAUGACAGGAUUACACACAGUUCGUCUAAUUAGCAAGCCAUGUGCAGCAUUGCCUGCCCAAGUGUUCAUGCACUCAGGCUCGUUGCCUCCCACCACUGCACCUUUCCUGCCUCUUUCCUCAACUGCAAUUGCCUGCUUUAGUUCCAGUCACAGGGGACGUAUCUGGUCUGCCAUAACUUUCCAGCUGUGAACACACCAGUGACUCCUGCCAGCCCUCCACUGUUCUGACUAGCAUCUCCAAGAGCUUUCCACGCAGAAGGAGUGACUCAGAAGACUUUGGAGAUGUCGCACUGGCUGGGAGCAAGUGCUGUUGUCUGCCACAAGGAGAGAGCUUCAAGCCAUCCAAGGGCAUGCCAUAUUGGUUCACAAGGGCCUGAACUACAAUAGUUAGGUAAGUUUGAUGACAGAAAGUAAGAAAGAAAACGAUUGGAAAGUCACCAGGUCAGACUGCGGGGCCAGAGCAGGAAAAAGGCUUUGCCAAAGUCAUACCUAGCAAAACUCAACCGUCUUCUGUGAAUUCAACCUCCUAUAGGCCAUUGUGCUAAUGUGUAUUUUGGCAAGUGCCUGACCCUUCCUGUUGACUGAAAUACUCAUGCUCUCUAGAAAUGACUAGGCCUGCACUCAACUCUCCAAGCAGCUAACCUUACCCCUUCUUCUUUCUUAUUUCUUCCUCUUGCAAAACCAGUCAAAUCCCUGCUGGGUGCCAGGGUCAGACAAUACCAUACUUCUACCAUCUGUUGGUCUGGUUCCUCCUCGUUUCCUGUUUCUUCCCUCUAGGACUGCCUUAUGGUAACACAAAAGCCAUGGCAACAACAGUAGGAAGGUCACUCUUGGUGGCCAGGCUGGGAAGAAAGGGACUCCCAGCAGAGGAGAAGUAGGUGUGCCCUGGUUAGGUUGCUUCUGAAUUUGACCUGCUUAGCCACUCCCUACCAAAAAUCUCCUCAACCAGCACAUCAGGCUCAUGCUGUAGGUGUCACAAACUCCACACAUGUAAUCAACUGGCUUCUUCUGAAAGGGAUUAGCCUAGGCAUUAGGAAAGAACUAGGUGUCAUUUUUAAGGUAUCAGUACAUUUUUUGGGGGUAAUAUUCCCAAGCAAGUCCAUUUGGAAGCCAUUUCCAAACACAUGGACAAGAAUGCAACUGAGAACAGGCAGUGUGGAUUUACUAAGGUCAAAGUGUACCUGGCCAACAUGGUUGUCUUCUGUGAUGGAAUGACGUACUGGAUGAACAAGGUUAGGGAUGCUGUGGAUGUCACUUACCUCGGUUUUAGCACAGCCUGUAACACUGUCUCCUGUUCAAAGCAAACUGGGGUGGUACAGACUUGAUGGAUGGCCCACAGCAUACCUGGAAAAAGUACGUGAAGCUCAAAAGGCAGUAAUGGUCAACAGCUAGACUUUUAAUUAAUUGGCAUUAAGAAAUGGCAUUCUUCAAGGGACAACACUAGGGCCUGUCUUCACCAGCAUCCUGGAUGAAAGGCUGCAAUGCACGUUCUGCAUGUUUGCGCAUGACGCUGUGUUCAGGCUGUCGAUCAUUAUGCUGGAGGACAGGACAGCCAUUCACAUAUUCUUCAGCAGCCUCAAAGACCAAUCUUACAGAAAUCUCCUCAAAUAUACCAAAGAGACAGACAAAAUCUGCACGCGAUACAGAAUUAAUCUGAGCAACAGCAGAGGAUGGGAGCUGAGUGGCUAGCAAGGAGCUUCACUGAAAAAAGCACCUGGGGUCCCAGUGGACAAAAUGCUCAUCAUGAGUCAGCUGUGAGGCUGUGCAGUGGUGACAGCCAAUUGCACCCUCACUGCACAGGAUGUAACGGAACCAGAUGCUCAUCAACAGUGCACAGUGCAAGGGCAAUGACCGCAAGCUGUAGUAGGAGAAAUUCCAUUGAAUGUAACUGGAGAAACGCUUCAAAAUGAAAGCUGACAUGCACUGAAACGGGUGCCCAAAGAGGUUUGUGAAAUCUCUACCUUCCAACAUUGAACAGCAAAGCCCUAAGUAGCCUAAGCUCAUGCUGAAGUCAGCCCCCUUUGAGGAGGUUGGCUGCAGCCCUCUAGAUGCUCUUUCCAACCACAAUUAUUUGAUGAUUUUUAAUUUUUUUUAAGCAGCUGUUCAUCUGGGAGACCUGGCUGGAGUUGGUUACAGAUUCCUCGAAAAGAACGAAGCUGUUAUCUCCACAGCAUCACCUGCCAGUUAUUGCUUAUUUGUAAUAUGAAUGAAUUCAGUGCAUACAUCACAAGUCAAGAGACUUCAGUUCUGAGAUUUUAUCUUCGAGGAUCAAAGAACUGAACUUUCUCUCUCUGAUCUUCAACCUGAGCAAAAAAAAAAGAGGUCUGUCUUUAACGCACUGUCAAAACCUCCCCACUUCAGAGGCAGCAUGAGAAAGACUGUUUCUGGGCUUUAUUUUGGAUUUAUGCAGCUCUCACACGUUCUUGUGGUGACAACUGGACAUGUUGUGAGACUUCCUAAUAAAACAAUUGUUUCGGCCUGAAAUGUUGUAGAAGCAGUGUAUAACAUAUGGCCUCCAAAUGCAACACCUACUUCAGCAUCUGCACCCUACCAUAUAUACACGUACAUUUAUAUACAGCAGUCCAGGCUGCCAAAGGCUCAGAAGAUCUGCUAGCUACCAUGAAAAAUGGCUGCUGGCUCUUAGCAGAACCACACUGCAAAUGUGGGGUGUGGAUCCACAAGGCUGUGCCUUCCAGCAGCAAGGGCUGCAGUGCCAGGUGUGCCGGCACACCAGGAGAAGCUAAGGACAGAGGACUCCCCAAAAGGCACUGGUGUGCAAGGGCAUUUUUACCUCCCAGGCUGAGCAGAGACACAGGUCCCCAGCGAGUCGCAGCCCCAGAUGCCCCCUGAAAAACCACAGCUGACCCAGGCACUCUGCAAGCCUGCGGUCAGAACCACAGUGGACACCCAGAGAAAGUAACAGACUUAGCUCUAAUCCCUGCACCAGUUGGUCUCGCAGACCCCGACACAGAACCCGGGCUGAGAAGCAAAAAAUAAAUAAAUAAAAGUAAAAACCCAUAUGUAUUUGAAAGCAUGUCCAGAAACAAACAAGCAAAACCUCUUAUCCAAACAAAUCAUAGUUAGAUCUUGGGUGAGACCAUGUUUAUGAAGGUUUAGCCAAGGAGCUUGCUUGGAGAUACCUCUCCAGCCUUAGCAUAACACAACCAGCCUGGACAAGUGCUACUAGAAAACACUUCAUUAAAACGCUGUUGUGGUAUUUAUUUAUAGGUAGCAAUUUAUAUCACACCCAUCGUACACACCAAUCCGGCAGCUAUGAUUGUCAAAUCAAACUGCUUCUUCCAUAACACCCCCUGCCCCCAGCCCACCUCCCGCUGCCACUCUCUUAGCAAAACAACUGUUUCCCACCUGACACGGCUGUCCCUCUGAAUAUAAGCCUUUGUUUGAACUUACUGAGCCCUACGUGUUCCAAACACAGGUGGGCAUCAAAGAUGCAACAGCCUCAUCAAGAGCCGGGCACACAUCUGUGGUGCUCUGCAUUCUAUUCUGUGAUUCUAUACAACCAGUGACCACUGCAGAGCUCUCCCCAGGAGACAGCUGGCAGCUGCGUUCUGCAUCUGCUGGAGAAUCCAAGUGGCUCUGGACGUAUCAAGGAUAAUACCAGAGAAGCUUCUCUGCGUGUUGUGGACACUGGUGGAAAAGGCAGUGUGAUAAAACACCUUACAAGAAAGCCCUGGGUGUGUCUUCAGCGAGGGGAAGGAAAAAAAAAAAAGAAAAGAAAAGAAAAAGAAAGGAAGAAAAAAAAGACUGGCAAAAAAAGAGGUUAGAUGAGGUAGCUGGGACUGCCGGGGGCAAUCUGAAAUCAGUUUACAUUAGAGCAGGUUGCUCUUGAUUUUGCUACAGCAGUUGUCACGCUUGGUAAGAAUAACAAGCUAUUCAUACGGCAGCCACCAUUGUGCAGCUCAGCACAUGCAGCCUAGUGGAAAGAAAUCCAAGCAAAUGCAGUGACUAGGAUAGGACAGUAAAAAGAAAUGGUUAUGUAAAUAAGUUUCGACUUCAGAAAUCUGCGAGAACAAUUGUUUCCCUGUAAGAGGGCUUCGUCACUGGAGCACGUGAGGCUUUACCCUACAUCUGCACUUCGAAAAGCCCACAUAUACAGCCCGCUGCAGCUCCCAGGUUCUUCCCACCGUCUGUCCCUUUCAAUCUCCAGCUUUUUUUUUUUUUUAAUACUCUCAAGUUCUUCAGCUAUCUAGAGUUCCACCUUCAUGCAUGCCCAGAACUGCCCCAGUCUUGACAGGGCCAAGCAGCUCAGCCCAUUUCACACCUAACUCUGAUCAGGAUCCAGAAACUGGGCGUUGCUUUGCCUGAACCCCCUGAGGGCUUUCAUUGGGGAUUAUAUGUUACCUGGUGACUGUUCCAUGUAAAAUGCAUAAACAGUCCUGGGAGCAGAGUCCAGACUCUCAAACUCCCAUGUGAAUGCUCAAACCAGUAGGAAAGACAGCCACGCUCCCUCGCAUGCACUUGCUUUGUGGCCCAGUGAUUCAACAGCACACUGCUGAGUGCAGGCAAGCAGCGCCGAGCUCCCCAGUGCGUUGUCUGGAUGCUCUGCAAGAGGUGGACGGUGGGAAUGAUGACCCUGAGGACCACAGCGACCCAGUUGGUCACCUUCUGGCUGCCAGCAAUCAAUGUUUCAGAUUAAAUAUGUUUGCUGUGACAGAAAGGCUGGCUGUACUCACCUUGCAGAGGAGCUGUUGGGAUGGGUGUCUGCAGACUUAAAAACUUCAGGUUUUCCUAUUAGUAUCCUGGGUAUAACUUCAAAAGCUUCUAUCUGCAAAUGGUUACACCAGGUAGGUGCUCAGCCUGGGCACUCAGGUCUUGGAGCAUCAAAUGAGGAGGUUGGUGAAGUAGCACACGCUAAGGCAUAAAUGCCAUUGGGAAAAUCUGUGCUGAUACUACUGCUUCAGAAGCAAAGUCCUACUUACCCCAGCACUGCUCUAACUCCCUCCUGGGUAAGGCUCUCUCCCUGACACACUUUGGUCCAUGUCUCUUAAUUUACAGGAGGGAAAAAGCUUGGCUUCUUCCAAAGGCCGAAGAACUGUACUCAGGUAAUUCUUAAAUAGCAACAUGCUCUCUGUGUCAAUUUGCACUGCUCAAAGACACAUUUUUUCAAGAGUUAUUUACUGUAAAAAUGCACGAAUGAUAACAUUUCUUUGAAGAAACAUCACACAAGCCCAAAUGCACCAGAAAAAGCCUGGAAAACACUCUAUUUUGCACACAAAGCAAAAGUUGCUUCUAAGUUUCACUUAUUGCAGCAACUGCUUCACAGCCAGUUUCCCAUUUGCCUCAAUGCCCAGAUAGUUCCUUUGGAAACCACUCAGCACACCCAGUACACACACGUGAAACGUAGGGAUGGAGCUACAGGCCAAAUCACUUCUAGCAAUUGCUCUCAGGUGUCACUGAGAGCAGAGCUGUUCACGUUGCGCCCAGACCGUGAUCUGGGGGCAACACCUCCUUCUGGUACCUCAGAAGGACAUGGAAAGAAAAAGCUUUGAAAACUCUUCUCAAAUGUGUAAUUCGGCCCAUAACCCACUGGGUUUCCACCACCACUCACCUUUGGGUUGUCACUGCAUUUCCUACUGCGGGCAACAUGAGGGACUCCCAGCUAAAAGCAGAAGCAGCUGCCAGCCGUGCCGUACAGCCACUGCUCCAACAAUCUCAUGCCCUCUGCAGCUUGGCACAAGGCAGAGGGAGAGAUGCCAUCCCUGCUGGCUCCAGCCCCAGGACCACCAUGAGCUGCAGAGCCUAUGGGUGCUGCGGGGCACACACAGCGUGCUGACAUCUGUCACAAAGGUUGGUGGUUAUUUUGACUGUGCCACACGUGUCUGUUGGGCAAAAUGCAAGUGCAAAGAGGAAUGCAGACAACGAGCACUCCCAGCAUUUCAUAUCUAAGACAGCGUGAAAUACUACAGUGACCUGGGGCUGUAGCUAAGCACCUGAGCACCUCUAAAUGAAUGUAGAUACAGCAGCUUUUAAGCAAGGCCUCUGUUAGGACAGAACAGGCUAUAGAAGCUGUACGGAAGAAGGCUGGCAGGUGAACGAAGGGUGCUCCCCUCUGUGAGGUGCAGCAAAGCCCAGGGCUUAUGGGAGAGCAGAAGCACCUGUCUGAGGCUGACAACUGCCAGGCAUGUGAAGUGCUGAGGCACACGCUGAGGAAGCAUGUUGGUGUGCUAAGGGAAGGCUGCAUGGUCCAGCAGUAGCAAUGCAGCUCUCUGACCACAGCACCACUUGCAGGGCACUGAGCAUGCUAUCCUAUGCAAAUUCGUAAUGGCUUCAGGAGAAAAUUAACAGAUGGUCGUGGGGGAAAACUCCCAAGGGGUUUUUUUCCCCCUUCUCGGUGCUAAUAGACUACUUACCAUUUUCUGAAACCACCUGCACAAUUUCCCAGGCAUCGUGGUUGGCUGCUGGCGAGAACAGAGUGUGACUGUAGUGCUGUUUGCAGCACUAAGAUGGCUUUCCAUUAUGCGCCUCUCACGUGUCCAUGAAAGGCUGCAUAACCCAGAAAUUCACUGUCAUGAUGGGGGUUGACAACUAAUGCCCAGGAUCAGGUUCAGGGAAUGCUUAACGUUUUCUAGCUGAUCACAUUACUUCAGGUACCAGAUAUACCAGCUUUCCCAUUGAUAUUAGGGGAUAAGCAAAUCCUCACUGGUCUUUGGAGGAAUAGUGCAGUGUAUCACUGUUGCUAGUGACUCCUGAAACCCACUGCAACAGAAACAAUACAUGUUACCCCAAACAAAGUGCAGCAAGAGGAAAUAGCACAACAUCCAGGGACAGGCACAGAAAGCUCCACCACCCUGUGUGUAUAAUGCUGUGGGAAGGUGAGGAUGGGCAGCAAACACGUAACUCAUGAGUAAUGAACACGUGGAUUUUCAUGUGGCAUCACCCUUCUGCAAGGGCUGCCAGCCAGUAAUGCUUGCUGCUCUCCCUGCCAGGACAUGUGACUUAUGGCAUGGCCACAUGUUCCUUCAGAGCAGCGUGGCAGCACAGGAUCUAGGACUUCAUGCCACCUUCCUCCUAGCUUUGCUCUGGCUAAAAGGUAUUUGCUCAGAUCCUCAGCUCAACCAGAUUUCAUAGAAGUAGGUAUCAGUUCCAUUACAAUCCGGCUGCCCACACCAGGUGUUCUGGGAUAAACAUCCUCAGAACAUCAGACCAAUUCAAGAAUCUCUGCAAACUGUACUGCUUGCCAACCAUCCAGCUGCAGCCAGUCACACAGGUACAGACACACAGGGCAGCACCAGCCAUGCCAGCUUCCCCCCCGGCCAAUGUUUGUUCUUCCUUUCUUCCUUCCCCUUUUUAGCAUCUCACAACAGUCAGGCAAAUAGGAGGAGCAUCCAAAAUACUCCUCUCCUGGCAGCCAACAGCCACUGACACCAUUUCCUGAUGAAUGUGAACACUCAAGUUGCAGGAAUCCUCAUUCCAUCCCACUGCAAAGACCCUCCAAUCUCCCAAGUGUACUUCCCUGUAUGCUCCUCAUCUUCCUCACUUCCACAGCUGCUACACAGCCUCAGUCCUCUGCUCACUGCCAGUCAGUGAAUGACUGCAGAAAGCCCCUCCUCACCGCUCCUCUGCCACUGCCUCCACUGGGGGCAGGCCCAGGAGCUUAAGAAGCCUUUGGUAUGGCUCUGGUACCAGACAGAUGCUGAGCUCACAGCCAGAUGUGACCUGCUCUGUAGGGAAAAUCUUCCCUCCCCAAGCUCGUUCCCUCCCACCUUGGUUAACAGGCAUUUGGAACCGGGCUGUUGAUUUGUUAAAGGAUCAUUGCCUUUUGAAAUCUCAUUGCAGGAAGCCAGAAAUUGCAGUUUGCAAUCUGCAUGGUUCCUGUUUCCAAAGGUGACCUCAUGCAUAUGUGCACUUGUGCCGUGCACCCCAGCUACCUUCCUUCAAGAAAUACCUACCUGUGCGUGUGGCAAAGCCCCUCAUGGACCUGUGCUGUGUGUGAUGGCAGUGCCACGCUGCCUGUGUGUCGGCAGUGCCUGCUCUUGCAGUGUGCACAUCACAGGCUCUAUUUCAGGGAAUAGCUGUGUGACAUCCAAUGUGCCUCGGGCCGGUGCAGCUGAAGGACAUGAGCAUUAAGAGUUACAAAUGAGAAUGUGUGGUUAGCUGGCAGCUGGCACAAGUAUUGCUUUUUUGUGAUAAGCACUUUAAGUGUCUCAUGAAUAGGAAAGCCUUUUCUAACAAACCCUGCCUGCGCUCAGUAAGUGAACCACAAAGGACAGAAUCCAACACUGCCUGGUGUCUCAAGGCAACUGUUCCUUGGACAACAACUAUCUUUUUUGGCAAAAGCCCAUGACAAGGCAGAGGCUGCAAUGCACGCAUGCUCAGUCCCUUGGAAGGAUCCUCUCAGACACCCAUGUUUGAAUUUUAACUGCUGGCCAUGGGCCAGGCUCUGAGAUGAUGUAGGUGGUCUUGCAGGUUGCAUCAGUACCUUCACAGGGUGCAGUAAGUGGGUCAGCUACCACCACAGCUCUGCACUGGCAUACUUCCCUAGGGAAGGUGCACAGGUCUGACUGAGUCUAAGGGAGAACUUCCCAGGAGACAAGUAAUGCUCUAUCUACUAUUUCAUCCUUUGCUCAGUUUCCAAGACAAGCACUGGCAAAACAUGGAAGGUUCUUUUGCUGCUGUUGCUGUGGAUCCCCAGCUACAAAUCCUCCGCACAGACGUUGAAAAUAAUCUGUGAGAACACGGAUUGUUUCUAAACUGGCAUUUUCGUCUAGAACUGUGUCGGAUACAAUGGUGAUGGAAGGACAGUUAAGCUAGGCCGAUUUGUUACAGUAAAGCUGUGUUGUACUUCAGAUUACUUAUUAACAAACAGCAAAUGGGCCUCUGCCUUGACCUUUUUCAUUUGAGCAAAUAUACUCUUCCUGCCCCCUGUAAACAGCAGGGACUGGUAACUCAGUCACGUACCCCUCACAUUACCAAAGUUAGCUUUCUUCAUCUGCGGCAAGGAGUUCAGUCAAACUGAAUUCUGCCAAGCUCACUAAGGUUAUUAGCGGUGUUAUUAGCCUUAAUAAUACCAGCAGUAAUAAUAAUUCUCUGGAUCACCGUAGACUUGAGAACAUCUAAGUAAUUCAAAAAUAUUAAUUAGAAAAACUCAAUAGGAGGUCUGAGAAACCACCAAAAAUCGUCAGCCUCGCUUCACAGAGCUAAGAGCUGAAAAUAGAGCCACAGCAAGCAGAAGCAGCUGUUAGCCUGAUGAGUUUCAAUUAAUGGGUGUUUCUUUGGUGUCAUGAAAUGCCAGGUGCCCGGUGCCUCUGGCAACACUACCAGGUUAAAAGCAGCAGCCCACAGUACGUAUCUGGAGCAAUAGCAGGUUUGGGAACUGGAAUCCAAAGGAUAGAUCUGCCAUUGAGACUUGGCCUUAGAGUGGGAUGCACUCUAGGUGCCUUGUACAUUGGGAAUAAUGGCCCCUUAGGCUCUUUGGAAAAUUCCAGUCCUGAUGAUCUUCAGUGUAGCUGAAGACCAAGAACACGCCUAGAACCUACACAUGCUCUCGUGCCAACAUGCCAUCAAUACCCACUCCUUUUAUAUUAAACCUUUUUGAGUGAAGAAGGCAAACUGUGACAAACACUCCACUGCAAUAGCUAACUCUAUUUCCUACCUAAUUAUUUCCCUGACUUCUCUCUAUUGCUAUUAAAGCUCAAGGGGUGGCCAAGUCAAGACAACAGCACCAAGAAGUUUGCAGCGUUCAUCUUGGUUCUAAGUUAAUUUUUCCUGUAGAUAUCACCCCAAUCCACCUUGAAUCACACAGCAUUAAGCACUCAGUAAACAAGGUGAAAGUUUCAUCUAGAUUCUUAACCAGUGAUGUUGCAGAGUCUUUGCAGCAAGGGGUAAUUACUUGUAUUAAUUACAGACUCCUCUAGGGUACAUUAUGCCACUGCACAGAGAGGAUUGGACAUACAAAUUGGAGGAGUGACUCUUUUUGCUUUCUUUGAUUUGUUCAAAAACCUUACCAUUUGCAGGCAUGGGAAGGACGCAGGCACAGUCAAUCUCAGUGUUUUGUUUGCAGUCAGGAUGACGCAGUGCCAAGAGCAACAGCUUCACAAUUGAGAGAUCCAGGUGCUGUUUCUCACUCUGACACACACCGCUCACGUGACCCGGAGCAUGUCACAUAACCUGUCCGUCCC
ensembl:lncRNA